GACGAACGCUGGCGGCGUGCUUAACACAUGCAAGUCGAACGGAAAGGCCCUGCUUUCGUGGGGUGCUCGAGUGGCGAACGGGUGAGUAACACGUGAGUAACCUGCCCUUGACUUUGGGAUAACUUCAGGUAACUGGGGCUAAUACCGGAUCGGAGCUGCUGCUGCAUGGUGGGGGUUGGAAAGUUUCGGCGGUUGGGGAUGGACUCGCGGCUUAUCAGCUUGUUGGUGGGGUAGUGGCUUACCAAGGCUUUGACGGGUAGCCGGCCUGAGAGGGUGACCGGCCACAUUGGGACUGAGAUACGGCCCAGACUCCUACGGGAGGCAGCAGUGGGGAAUAUUGCACAAUGGGCGGAAGCCUGAUGCAGCAACGCCGCGUGCGGGAUGACGGCCUUCGGGUUGUAAACCGCUUUCGCCUGUGACGAAGCGUGAGUGACGGUAAUGGGUAAAGAAGCACCGGCUAACUACGUG
rnacentral:rRNA from 1 species